AUUGAACGCUGGCGGCAUGCCUUACACAUGCAAGUCGAACGGCAGCACGGGAGCAAUCCUGGUGGCGAGUGGCGAACGGGUGAGUAAUAUAUCGGAACGUGCCCAGUAGUGGGGGAUAACUGCUCGAAAGAGCAGCUAAUACCGCAUACGACCUGAGGGUGAAAGGGGGGGAUCGCAAGACCUUUCGCUAUUGGAGCGGCCGAUAUCAGAUUAGCUAGUUGGUGGGGUAAAGGCCUACCAAGGCAACGAUCUGUAGUUGGUCUGAGAGGACGACCAGCCACACUGGGACUGAGACACGGCCCAGACUCCUACGGGAGGCAGCAGUGGGGAAUUUUGGACAAUGGGCGCAAGCCUGAUCCAGCAAUGCCGCGUGCAGGAAGAAGGCCUUCGGGUUGUAAACUGCUUUUGUCAGGGAAGAAAUCCUCUAGGUUAAUACCCUUGGGGGGAUGACGGUACCUGAAGAAUAAGCACCGGCUAACUACGUGCCAGCCGCCGCGUAAUAC
rnacentral:rRNA from 1 species